rnacentral:tRNA from 1 species
GCCCAGGUGGUGAAAUUGGCAUACACGUCAGCCUUAGGAGCUGAUUCCCGAAAGGGAUUGAGGGUUCAAGUCCCUCCCUGGGCA